UACGGGGGGUGCGAGCGUUGUCCGGAAUCACUGGGCGUAAAGGGCGCGUAGGCGGCUUGCACCGUCAGAUGUGAAAUUCCUGGGCUUAACCUGGGGGCUGCAUUUGAUACGUGUGGGCUUGAGUGCGGAAGAGGGUCGUGGAAUUCCCAGUGUAGAGGUGAAAUUCGUAGAUAUUGGGAAGAACACCGGUGGCGAAGGCGGCGACCUGGUCCGUGACUGACGCUGAGGCGCGAAAGCGUGGGGAGCAAACAGG
rnacentral:rRNA from 1 species